GGGGGUGUAGCUCAGUGGUACAGCAUGUGCUCAGCAUGCUUGAUGCCCUGGGUUCAAUUCCCAGCACCCCCA
rfam:Loxodonta africana unplaced genomic scaffold scaffold_143, whole genome shotgun sequence.